rnacentral:rRNA from 1 species
GACGUAGGGUCCAAGCGUUGUCCGGAUUUACUGGGCGUAAAGAGCGCGUAGGCGGUCCGUUAAGUGUAGAGUGAAAGCUCCGGGCUCAACUCGGAAAUUGCUCUGCAUACUGGCGGACUCGAGGACGGAAGAGGUUUGUGGAAUUCCUGGUGUAGCGGUGAAAUGCGUAGAUAUCAGGAGGAACACCGGUGGCGAAGGCGGGUCUCUGGGCAGUAACUGACGCUGAGGAGCGAAAGCGUGGGGAGCGAACAGG